AAGAAAGAAAGAAAGAAAGAGAAAGAAAGCUUUCCAACGGCACCUUGAGGAAUCCCUCAAGGUGGUUUUGAUGGAAGCACUCAGUGAUGAACACACCUACCUUCUGGAUGCAGGACAAAGAAGGACAGCUGAGAAACUUCUCAAGAUGAUGGCAGAACAUUGGUCAUCUCCAUAAAUAAAAGGGAUGCUGAAACUUUGAAGGGUCACUAGGAGAACUUUCACAAGUCAAGGAUUAUCCUGUACUUCCACCAGAUACUUCAUUGGAAUUUUGGAACUCCCUUUGCCUUGCUGAAGGGAAUCACAAAAUAAAUCUGCCGAACAGAUGCGACAAUCCGAUCAGACCUCAUCUGAAUAAAUGGAUUCACAACCAUUUGUUUCAAAAGGCUAUUGAAAUCAGCAAGAAGGAUUUGAAGGCCCCUGAUCUAACUCAGCAAAUCAACUCAAUCAGUGAAGGUCUGGGGUUCAAAUGGGCAAUUCCUUCAGAUGGUCUUAAAAAUAAACCUUCAGAUGAAA